GCUCCUGUGGUGCAAUCGGUUAGCGUGUGGUACUUAUAAUGCCGAGGUUGUGAGUUCGAGCCUCACCAGGAGCA